UGUUAGAGUAUAUUGUUAAACUUAUUCUAUUUUAUUAUUAGUUAUUAAUUAUUAAUUAUUAUUAUUAGUUAUUUAUUAAUAGUUAUUGUUGCUAAUCUCUUAGUAUGCUUAACUUAUGAAUUAAACUUUAUCAUAGGUAUGUACGUACAGAAAAUAACCCAUGGAGGGAAUAGGGUUCAGUAUUGUCCCUGAUUUCAGGCAUGUGCUGGGAAUCCCGGAAUCUUGGAACACAUCCCCUGUGGAUAAGGGAGGACUACUGCAUUAGGACUGUUUGAGUUGCAAGCCAACUUUAUGAGCUGAAUAUUUUUCUGAAACACUGGCAGCGUGAUUUCUCCCAACCAUGUGUCUCCAUCCCAAACUGAAAAGACCAUCUUCCUGAGGCAGCUAUUCAAAACUGCGGCCAGCUUGACUGCUUUUCUUGAAUUGAUGAGUUACGAACAGAUUGGUCAGAAAGCGAUACCUGUUUGAGCUGACUGAUUAUUAACCAAGAGUCAAAUUAUGUGCCUAGACAAAGUGUGAGUUAUGGGAAGAACCCAGGCUCUCUCUCUCUCCUUUAGGUCAUAGUAAAGGGAACCAUUGACUUCACUGUACUUUUGGAUUAUGCAGGGAAUGGUCAGGGUUGUUUUGGAAUCCCAAAGAUCUACUUUCAAACUUUGGUCCUACUGAGGUAGCUGUGUGAGUUUGGCUGCCAAAGGUCAUCUGACAUAAUAGCUGAUGAAUUCAAGCCCAGUGGAUUUCAUUUGCAAUUUUCAAUUUACUGAGGCCUCCAAACCCCACGGUGAUAAAAGCUUCCCCUAUCGUGGCCUGUCACAAACAUCAAGAAACUGCACAAACCCACAAGAAAGAAAAAAGAGAAAGCUGUGCAUCCUCGCAGGUACAGAUAAGGAGAACAGGAAGAAAUGGUAUCAUGCGGGAAGGUACGGAGCAGCUUGUGUGGCUGGUUCUCUAAAUGCCAAUUGAAAGGAAAAGACUAUGAAGAACAAUCAAAUAACUUCCACAGAAUAACAUCAUGUUUCUUUGGGGCUUUUGUGUGAAAAUUGCCUUCUAAUCUCUUACUUGACAAGUCCCCAAACAAAACUGUAAGCAUAAAUAUGCAAACAAAUAAAUGAAUAAAUAAUCCUUUCUUAUUUGGUCAUGGGAAAAAAGCACACUCAGUGUAUGUUGUAUUUACCAUACUUUUGAUUCACAAAAUGCAUGCUUGUAAAGGAUAUUGUAUCAAGGAAAUGUCGGUCAGCCCUAAGAAAUCAUUUAUUUUGUUACAGAGAUAUGGUAGAUCCUUUGAUUGAUUUGCAAGGGCAGUCAAAGAACUGACAGAGCAACUACUUGUAAGUGGAUCUAGAUACAGUGUAUAUAUAUCACAGAUGUAUUAGCAAAAAAAAAAAAAAAAAAAAAAAAAAGAAG